GGGGGCGAUACGGAUUCGACGACGGUAACGAACCCUGAGGUGCAUGCCGUGAUGGUAGCCAAUCACGUUAAUCCAAAGCUGCAAACUAUUAGUUGCCAACGACGACAACUACGGUGCCCAACUGGCUGCGUAAGCAGCCCGUGAAAGCACCAACUAGUGGCUUCGGCCCUAGCGGUCUUUAGUAAGGUGCCAGUACCGCACUACUGACUGUCAUAUAGAACUGGAUCGCUGUGAAGCCUGCCUGAGGUGGAACUGCUAAAACUUAUUCAGGCUCGCCAAUUACGUCCUGCCCGUUGGGCUGUAUGAGGCUAAAUUAAUUAACGGAAACUAAGCAUGUAGAGCCGAAGGCAGAGUACUGGCGGACGCGGGUUCAACUCCCGCCGCCUCCACCA
rnacentral:tmRNA from 4 species